UACGUAGGUGGCAAGCGUUGUCCGGAAUUAUUGGGCGUAAAGCGCGCGCAGGCGGUCCUUUAAGUCUGAUGUGAAAGCCCACGGCUCAACCGUGGAGGGUCAUUGGAAACUGGGGAACUUGAGUGCAGAAGAGGAAAGUGGAAUUCCUGGUGUAGCGGUGAAAUGCGCAGAUAUCAGGAAGAACACCAAUGGCGAAAGCAGCUCUCUGGGACGGUACUGACGCUGAGACGCGAAAGCGUGGGGAGCGAACAGG
rnacentral:rRNA from 1 species